rnacentral:tRNA from 1 species
GGCUAGGUAGCUCAGCCGGUUAGAGCACGGCACUCAUAAUGCCGGGGUCGCGAGUUCGAGUCUCGCUCUAGCCACCA